GAUGGCCAGACCCAUCAGUUUCCCUGAGACCUUCUCUGAGACAUCCUUCACUGGACACACAUCAACUCCAGUGACCUCCAAACGUCAGAGUGAGGCCAGGAAAACAGGUUCUGGGUUUUCUGCAGCGUACAGUGUUUUAGUAUUCAGCAGUGGACCAGAGGCUGGUCUGAGCCCCAGGAACUGAGACAGAAACCAAACAGGGCUGGUGUUUAUCUGUUUGGUUUUUUACUUGUUUUUUGAAGAAUUUUGUUUCUUAGAUACAUUGCACUACUUUGUUAUUGUAUCUUAAUACAUUGACCACAGUAAAGAGGAACCACUGGAACACCUGAAGUACUACUAAAACUGUACUGCUGUUUCUGUCAGUGCAGCAGCUCAGUUACUAACAGAUUUUUUGGAGGUCAUGCACUUCAGCAGAUGUUUCCAUCUCUGCCUGUUCAACAUAUAUUUCUCUCUGUGAAUUAAAGUUAUGUUGUGAAAUUCGUCAAAAAGUUAUUUGGGAUUUUAUUGGAUCUGUUGAAAGUGCAGUGACUUCAUUUAAACUCAGGUCGCAAUUCAAACAGAAGAUACUUGAGUAAAGUAACCACAGAGUAUUUGAUACUGUCUCAUGUCCUACAAAGGCAAAGAGAAGGUCCUGAGCUGUCCCCCUUCCUCCCCCCCUUCUGUCUCUGUCCUCUCUGCUCUUGGCAGUAGUUCGGGGAUCCUUCAGAACAACUUGUUUGGCCUCCGAUUUCUCGACAUUCGGCACCAGGAGACACCGGAGCCAAAAGUCAGGACGAGCUCUUCUCUCUUCCUCUCUUCCUCCCUCUCCCUCUCUCUCCCUCUCACUUCAGCCUCCUCGGCGGGUGUUUGUCAUCCCCCGCUGAGCCAAACAGACGUGUGUUUACCGGUUUACUGUAGCUGGCCGGGGAGGCUUGUCGGUGUGCAGGCCAGCGCUUUGUCCCUCACACUGUGAAACACAACAGCAGUUAGACUUCUCCCUGACAGCAUGCUAAUGGUCUGAUUUACCUCUCCUAUGUUUAAUCAUGAGACAGAGGGAAGGAGAGAGGAAGAGAGGGAGAGGAUAUGAUAAUUGGUCCAAAGUUUGUUUGUGUUGGAUCCCAUCUGUACACUUUGACCAUGUUUGUCUGUUGCUUUUUCUUUUUUUUUCAGGGCAAACACACAGAGGCACACCAACAGAGGUCUGUGGUUUGGAUUUGGGGAAAAUAACGAGAAAAAUAUUUUCAUUUACAUUUUUCCUGAACAGGAGAGUUCCCAGAAUUCCCUCAGUUGAUGUUUUCUGAUGGUCUGUUUUGAUUUUUCUUUAUUAUUAUUUAUGUUGCAAAGAUUUUUUUCCAUUUUCCCUGAUUUUAGGAACUGGAUAUCAUAUAUACAAGGGUAAGUCAAAAAAUCUAAGACAUGUUAAGGAUAUUAAAAUUUUUCACAUGUCAAGGCGUCUGUAACGGUGCUGAAUUAUUAGCUCUGUUGUGAUUGUUUUCAUCAUGUUUUUCCAGUCACAAAUCAGAAAUUGAAAUCUACCCAAAUUAUGUAAAAACUAUUGAAGCUUUGCAACAGAUGCCCAAAGAAUCUGUCUGUUAUGUAGAUGUUUUUCAUUUUAAUUUUUUUCAUAUGCACCUCAUUGAACAGCUUUACUUGUAGCAAUAAUAAAAAGAUAAGGGGCGAUGACUGAUAGAGCAAAAGGCAUCAGGGAAUCUGAUGCAAGAUCCUGCAAUAAUGACAGCUGGAGGGGUGGAAGGAAGGUUUAAGUCAAUCAGCUGAGGAAAAAAAACUGUAGGAGUGAAUGUUAAUUCUGAGGUUGUUGGGAACGACAAUCAGACAAAGAAAUGGGUGAAUAAAAUACAUAUGUAAAAAUGGUAUUUCACACAAAAAUGGGGACAUUUCUUAAAAACUAUUGCUACAGAUUCUGCUAAUAGAUGACAUUUACUUUCCUCGUCUAAGUUAACUUUUGAUGCAGAAAAUGUGUCACACACACAGAGAUCCUAACUCCACACUGACACUUCAGUAACAUCACAAUCAUCCACUGUUGAUACUGAAUCCUGAAAAGUGAGUCAACCCUCCAUAUUUCUGACUGCGGUCACUUCAGAAGGACAGUUUUGGACAUAAAUUGUCCGUGGAGCAGCUUCAGUCCUAAAUGUUUGACGUGAUUGUUCACAAAGCAUCAACGGCCGCGUCACUGAGUUUUGUUUCUCUGUUGCUCUGAACGUGUGAAGUUUUUACAGACACACUACAGUGUGACAGACCGCCACAACAAUCCACUGUCUCUGUGACACACACAAUGGUGGGACUGUUCCACCACAGACGUACAAGUGUCCCAGCCAUCUGUCUGCAUAGCCCCACAGUACAAACAUUGUCCUACACACACACACAUCCACCCCCCAAAAAACACAAAACUGUCACACAUGUAUUAUGUACCAAUAACAUGUUGAACAACACACUGACGACUUCAUCAAUAGUCUAUUCUUUUUAUGAAUUAAGUUAAAUAAAGUUUAUGAAGACAGUUUUUACGAAUGUAUUUAAAAUAUAUUGAUGCUUGUUAUUUCUAGCCAGUUAAGCAGAUUUUAAUAAAUUAUUAAACUUAUUAAUUUGAUAUUAUGUUCUAUCUACAUGCAAUAUGUACAGUUUUUGUUUUACAAAUUGGCUUAAACCUAAUUUCUGAAAAGGAUAUAUGUAACAGUGACAGAGUUUGCAGACAAUGCUGGAAGUUUACUGGCUGUUUUAGUCACAAUUAUUUUCUUCAUACAGGGAGCUGAUACAGCGUCACAUGUGGUUCAGGAACCACAGGUUGUACACCUCGGUGUAGAACUAGGUGAACGUGACUCAGCUGUAUUAUCAAUUUUCCAACAUCCUUCAUGAUCAAAAUGACCUGGUUUAAAUGGAACAUUUUAUGGACACUGGGUAUCAGAGGAGGGACAUCAGGAUCCCUCUUCCCUCAUUGCUCAUCAGCUUUAACCAGUUGUGUGUAAUUUAUGUCUGAACUCACGUUUGUUCUUUUCAGUAACACAAACACUGUGGUUGUUUUGUGUGUUUGUUUGUGAGAACAUGUGUGUUUUGGACUUAUUCAGUGUGUCCCACAAAGACACAAACACACACCUGCAGCCGGGCCCACAGAGGAGACACUCAUGCCGUGGUCUGAAUGGUGUCACUUCUUCCUUUAUUUUACUCCGGUUCUUUUCUCUCCUUCUUUAUUUAUUUCUGUUUCUUUCUUGCUGUAUGAGCGACAGGCUGACCACUAUCAUCUGUGUGCCAUCAGCCUACAGCGUCACAAAGACGACCCUGUCCUGUGUGUGAGAGACAGUUGGUGGUAACAGUGUAAUUCACAGUGAGUGCUGUCACAGUGAGGGAAGCAGAGACACAUUCACUGUCCAACAGAUGGCUCAUACAUGCUGCCCAGGCCUGAAGACCGUCUAUUCUCACACUCUGAUGCCUGAAGGAGCUGCAACUGUUUCACUGUUUGUUUGUUUUUUGUUACACUGAAAUGACAGAAAACACACUGUCAGCUGCAGGCGUGUGUCACGGCCACCAGACGGGACGUAAAUCUAACUGGAAAAGGAAGCAGAUUAAAAACAAAUCUCCAGCUCCAACUCAUUGAGACGUCCGACAUAAAUCAGAAUAUUAAAAAAAUAAUGUGACGUUUGUCUGCUGAUUUGUCAUGGUACAAGACAAUUAACCUUGAGUUGUCCAUCAUACCAGGCCACUAGGGGGCCACAGUCCUACUGUGAGGUUCUUUGUCAUCCAGGGCCUUGAAUGGUUUAUAGAUUGACAAAUCAGAUAUUUACUGUAAAAAAGUCGAUCUUGAAUGUGACAAAUGUAAACUAAAGUGUUAUGAACCUUCAUCAUUAAAGAGAAUGUUUUUUUUAAAGUAGAAAUGUAUAAAGUAAAAAAAAAGGUUUAAUCCUAUAAAUACUGUAUAGUGCACCGGUGCAAAUGAGUACUAAUAAUGAAUGAACAAACAAAACAAUUUAAAAUAAAAAUAUUCUAAUAUUACUAAUAAAAAUAUCCUCAGCUGCUACAUAAACACCAAAUCUAACAGUUACGAUAAAAACACAGGGAAUACGAUAAAAAAAAUUGUCGCGACGGGAUUUACGCAGGAUUACCACCCCCCUCCUACUCCUUCCCCCGGCUUCGGACCUCUAUGUCUGCGCCAGCAUGUGGCGCUGUCACUGUUGCCUAGAGAAAAACACUACACACCGACGCUGUGCACAAAACCCGCGCAUUAAAAAAAAAGAAGAAAAAAGUCCACUACUCCUAAUUAAGUACUCCACCACAGCUUCUUCUUCUUCUUCCAAAUUCACCACUUUCGCGCUGUUUCGUGUAGUUACGUCACAAAGAUGCGACAGAACAGGAAUAAUAAAACGGACGUGACGUCAAAAGCUGAAAAAUUCACCGCUCGCUUUAAAAGGGACAGGUGUACAGAGUCAUACCUGGUGGCGGCUCAGGUAGGAAGUCUUUUUGGUUUGCCCUGGUCAGGAGGACCAACCCCUUAGUAGCAGGAAGUUCUCACCCACAGGAUGUCUUCAGAGUUGACAAAAUAUGGAGAAAAGGGAUCUUACGCUUAUAUUGGAUCCAAUAAACCUGAGACUACAGAACUUGGUGAAGCUACGUCCUGGUCAAGACAUGACUGCAGCCAAGAUAAUCCAGACCUGCCUCCUUCCUACUGGGGGUCUUAAGGUGUGUUCUUAAGCAUAAUCCCCGUUAUGGUCAGUCGUGUAGAAAAUUCACUCGACUCAUUCAUGUUUAGGUUCUGGCUCACUACAGCUGACAGAGGUUUCCAUUCUAAUCUCUGCUCUGUUAUAUAUGGUUUUUUCUGCAUGCAAAAAAUCAACCUUUUUUGCCUCCCAACCUGCUGUUUUGACAUCUGAAAUUGGGGGAGGAAAACUGGCAUGUUGAUUUAAAAAAAAUAAAAUAAAAGUUAAGAUGUAUUCAAAUCCAGUUUUUAGCAUAUUGUUGAAAAAUUGACCAGAAAUUUCUUAUUUAACUUGUUUCCAUUUCUGAGAGGUGGCAACCCUCAUCACAGCACCACCUACCGUACCUGCAGCCACACUGUGCUGCCUUGACAUUCCAGUCCAGAUCUUCUCACGGACAUUGUGUGAACACGACUGUUAUCUGAGACUUCUGAAGCUGCUGUAAAACUAUAGAGACCCAUGUCUGGGUACUGUCUCCCAAUUAGUCAUUUCUACAGAGACUGUUGCCAACAUCUGAAACAACAGCCAGUGUAUUUAGCAAUUAGCUGCAUUGUGGCCAAAUGGGAGUGGGAGUGUCCUGGCAGAGAGAGAGGAGAAAACAUCAGGGCUGAACCUGGAGACGGAGCAGGGUAGAGACAACUAAUUUCCCUCAGGAGGACUCAGAUGCACACGAAUACAGAAUGUAUACGUACAUACAGACAUAUGCACACACAUAGACAUGCAGUAACACACACACACACACACACACACACACAGAAGCCAUCUCUUUGUAUCUUUGAUAAAAUCCCAGAGGAGUUGAGGUUUGUAGGCAGCCGCCACAGACACAGUGCUGACCACUGUGUUGUGUGUCUCCUGUCUAAUGAGGAGGUGCCAGUACCAGCAGUUCAUUUACAAGAAGACAGUGGCACAAUCGCACACUGACUCACAACUGACAUUUACAGGCAAUUAGGACAUGGAGCCAGAGAAAUGUGUGUGUGUGUGUGUGGGUGAAUGUGGGUGUGCGCGCGCACUUUUGUUGGUUUACCAUUUUAAACUGUCAGAACUGCCCUGCAGCUAAUUUUGUAGCAAACUGCUAAUAAUGGAGGAAAAAUUAUCUAAUUGCACCUUGACUUAUGAACAUUAGCCUUGGAUAUCUGUGAGUUACAUGAGGGACAAACGUGUUAAUAAAGUUGUUAUUUUGUCAUUAUACUUUUUUCCAGAUCAUUGAACAAUAAUGUCAAGUAAAUUGUCAAAAUGACACUGUCAGAAAUGAGCUUUUAGUAAAACAUGUCAUUAAAAUAUCUAAAGCUGCACUUCAAAUGUCAAGAUACACUUCUGUAGCCAUUAUUUUAAAUAAACAAAUAAUACAAUAAAUAAAUAAUGGCUUGAGAAAGCCCAAUCGUACCUAAAGGUUAGCAUGAUGACAAGAUGAAUAAGGGUUAGCCCAGAACUAAGUAAAGCAAAGUAGCUAACCAUCAGAAAUGGCUAAAUGUAAACCAAUGGUUAAAUUGUGACAUAAAUAUGUAGCAAUUCCAGUAGUCAAAACCUUGGGCAAAACUGCUUAAAGUUCCAAACAUGAAAAAAAAGUAUGCAAUGUCAGAAAUUGCUUAAAAGUUUAACCAAAAAGAUACAAAUAGCCAAAAAUUGCGAGGUUGAUAAAAGAAGACAGAUUAAAUUCAACGACUAACAAAACUUUAAGGAUAACUUGUUGUUAGAUAUUUAUUGAUCAUUCGUUAUUUUAGAUUCUCUGUCCUCAGAUGAACUGAUAGAGAACCUCACUCAUCCUUUCAGGAUGACCUAAACAGCAGAUUGUGGUGUAGCAGUGAUUGGUUUGAGGAUCACACAUGUGUGAUGUAAUGCUGCUUGCAUCACACUGUAUCUCCCACAGCUGAUGACAGACAGGCCUGUUUCCCCUGCCAGCACAUCCCAGCUGCUAUGAGGCAAUGUAGUCUGCCAGGCACAAUACGGCCGUCAGCCUCUAACAAUGGAGGACUUGUGCUGCCUGGAUGGCAUCAUUGUCACACUUUCUCUUUCUUUUUAUUUUGGAGGGAGGGAGGGAUGUGUGUUGUUGUUGUUGGUUUUUUUUUUGUUAUUAUUGUUGUAGUUUUAUGGCUGUCUAGGUUAGACACACAUUAUUAUUAUUUUUAAGGCCUGUAUUGUUGCCUGGGAGACAAUAGAUGCCAUGCGUGAACGUGCUCAGAGUGGAUGUGGGUCGUGGGAAAAUUAUGGUUUGUAAUGACAUUGUAGGUCAGCGUGGUAUGUUUAGUCAGUUUAGUCAGACACUUAAUGCUUUUAUUUUUUAAAAAGUUGAUUUAAUUUCUAUACAUAUUUAAACAACCAUAAAUAAUAGCAAUAAUAUUUUGUUUCCUUGUCUGAUGGAUUUUAUUAAUAUCUUUCUAGUUCUAGUAAUUCUAGUUUAGUAAGACCUGUGUUCUAAUAUGCUGACCCAGUCCUACAUCACUCAUAUUGUGCAAAAUAUAUUAUAUUAAAUAUAUUAUAAUUGGCCUAUUGACAAACAAUCGUACGUAAUUAAAUUUAAUAUGUCAUGACAAAUAAAGAAUUUGAUUUCCCAAAUCUGUGAGACGUUUGUAUGUUGUAUGAGGCUGUCAGGAGGAAGGAUACUAAAAAAUAAUACAGGAAUUUUUCUACCAUUUCAUUUCCAAAGGCCACACUGGCAAACAUAGGCCAGCUGCUACAGUAAUAAUCCAAGGAUCAGAUAUUUAAACUGUGCUUUUUAACUCAGUAAGUGCUCAAAGUAUCGUUACCAAUGCUAUGCAACAAGGACUUACUCUUCACAGGAACAAUUGUAUGUGUUUAUCUCUUAGACUUUUAACAGAGUUUACAACAGCGCACUCUUCGAUCUAAACAUCAGCCAUGUGUCAGGAUAUAAAGUCACUUGACAUCAUCACACCAGAAACCGACGCACGCACAUUCAAAAAUGUGAACCGAUAAAUAACAAAUUUUCACCACGAAUAUUUUCCUUCUUAUUUUCACCUUCAUCUGUAUUUGUAUUAUGUAUUCUUCGCAGCCACCGGGAUUAAUCUCAAUCUAAAUCCUAAAAUCAUCAUCACAUUCACUCCUACCUGCAGUAAUCAUCGUGUGAACAUGUUUGGCCACUGUAUGGAGAUUUAAUUGUAAAAACAAAAAGUAAAAUAAAUAGGUAGUGCAGAGGGGCAUUGGUGCGUCCACGCAAUGACUCAUGGGAAUACUGCUCCCAGGUUUUAAUGAACCAUUAAUUGUCUGUGUUUUGACCUGAGGCAGUCAGCAGUGUCAUUAACAAGGCACCUGUUUACUGUAUGUAGCACAGUAGCUUGUUACUCACAGAGUAUUAUUAACACAUCCUCCCAUUACCCAAUUAUACAGCAGGUUGAUUAGACAAGGCAGUC